AGUCUUUAAGAAGCUUGUCAGCAGACAGGAAGAGUUACCUCAGAUUCAUGACAGAAUACCUUAUGUAUUCAUAGACGGUAGUGAAAAGGGACUAAAGUCUGACUUGGCAGAGCACCCCGCCUACGUGCGUCAGCAGAACUUAAGAAUUGCACACAAGGUAUAUUUUGACAAACUGGUCCAUUCGGUGGCUAAUAUAAUUCAGUGCCUCUUUGACAACGACACUGACUAUACAGUGAAAAUCAUCUACAACUUCCUGAACAUCCAACCAGACAACAUAUCUGAGAUUGCUGAACUUUUAAACAUCCAAACUGGUCAUGGAGAAGUCUGCCCCCUCGAUUAUUCUUAAUCACUGGUGCGUGACCUGGCAGGGUCACCAUUUUCUCUGCAGAAACCUUUCAAAUAUAAAAAUUCUAAACAGAAGGAAUGGAUACACCACUCUGGACCUACCACUGACCCUUGGAGACCUGACACAAUAUAGACUGGCUCAUGGACUUAGUGAAAAUCUAAUGGCGCUCAGUCCUUACUCUUGGACCAUACCCUUUCUGGUGUCAUCGAGUGAAACACCUGGAAUUGAGCUUCUUCCUAAGAGCGAUCACAGAUGGCGGAGAGUCACCCAUGGAGUGGCAGACCCUCUAGUUCCCCACGAAGGUCAUCUACAUUUGCCAACUAUGCCUGGAAGCAUACAAUCAAGCCAAACAGGAUUUUGAUACGCAAUGCCCGGCCACUGGUCAUCAAUUUUGCCACUGAUAGGCUUCCUAUCAUCAAGCCAGUGGAUCAGAUCAUACUGGAAGACGCGGGCACCGUGGGGUCCGCCCUUAAUCUACCCAGCGAGUCUAUCUGCACUAGACCAGGCCUGCUCCUGUUUGGACACUACAAUAACGAUGUGCCAGUCACCCCCCUGGUGGACUUUAAGCCCGAUGAGCCCCUCCAGGUUGUCCUCACAGCCCACAAGACCAUAGUGGUGCCACCAGGAGAAUUUGUCAUGAUCAUCGUGUGUGUAAAUUUUGAAAAAAUAAAAUCCCUGGACCUCAUCAUCCAUGAAAUGUCAACCAGCAACAUCCCCCUACCACCCACCUGUGGGCAGACCUUCAAAAACUUCAAUACAGCCACCCCCUCUCUGGAAAUCUAUGGAGAUGUCAUAGAGUGUAAUGACGACCAGAAGACCUGCGUCUUCACAGCCGUCUUUCCCGGGCUCCACAGGCGCUGCAGCCUCCACGGUCCCCUAAAUUUUAUGGGAUUUGUCAACAGUGUGAAUAUAACUGGAACUAUCCUCAGGGUGUACUAUUCUGGUGUCAGUGAAGCUGCCCCAGACAGCAUACUUGUCAAAUUCAAAACCUCCUCUGCCGUGGCCUUCAGUAAGAACCCGUGCCAAGGACAUGUUCCCAGUCAUGAUGAUACUUUGAUUCCCCUGGUGUAUACCGGACCCACCCUCCGUCUCCUCCCGCUGGAAACCAUCAGUAUUCCCUUCAAUACCUCUUUUGUGGCCCAGAACCCUGACCUGAAAGCCAUCAUCUAUGACAACAACUUAAAAGACAUCAGGAUCUCUGCAACCAUGUGGACAGGAGAACAGACACCCAUCUUGGCCCACAAUUUAACCGCCGCAGUUAAACUUAUCCACAGUGGGACCGUGUUUGCCAGGGCAGCCUUUUUCUCCACUAAAGAGAACAAGAAGGCCUGCACACUUAAACUCUGCCCCUCAACCAUCCUUCUUCCAGGUGGUGAGCUGAGUCUAGAUACCUCUACCCUCCCCAACUGUUUCAAAUGAUUCUUGUGAGUGCUGACAGGCUUAAUAAAGAAAAUGAUUAAAUGAAA
rnacentral:tmRNA from 1 species